GGGGGCGAUCGGUUUCGACUGGAAGUUUCCUGGCUUGAGUGGCGUGCCGAGGUUGCGGAGAUGGCCUCGUAAAACCUUCCGCAAAGGCUUAACUGCCAAMAAUAACUUCAAACUCGCUGCUUAGUCAGUGACAUUCGACUUGCCUUCGCCCGCUGGGCUUGUCGGAUGAUUGAUCGCGGGCUAGURACCUAAUCCUGGCUCGGGAAAAGGAAGCGAAAUUCAAGGAGCUGGUCGCCUAAGCCACCUGUCCGUUGGCAGCUAUGGGGAYGAGAUUCAAUAAUGGACUACGCACGUAGAAGCUYCUGUUUGGCCUUCUCAGGACGCGGGUUCGAUUCCCGCCGCCUCCACCA
rnacentral:tmRNA from 1 species